rnacentral:misc_RNA from 1 species
GCGCGCGGCGGGAGUCAGUGUUGGUCAGACCGUCGUGGUGAACAGAUUCGCCCGUAGCCCUCUCUCCCCCACCCCCCCUCUCGCCCCCUCACCUGCGUGCCCGAUUACCCGUGCGUCUGUCUGUCUGCCUGUCUGUCUGUGUCUUCGCCCGGCCAUUCGGUUCCUUGUUUUUCUGUUUUUGAUCGAUAUUCUGUGCCGCACUUUGAGAAAGGGGUGAAAAUAAAAGAGGGAAAGUCCUUUCUCGAGAGAAAAAGAGGCGAGAGAUACGAAAGGGACACGAGGAAAGCGGCAGACGAAGUGUCCGCGAUGGGAUACCAGCAGACGAGCCCUCCUGCGUCCCCUUCUUCGGGGCGGAACAAGGGCCGCCGUCCCACCAGCCUGGCCGUGGGCGCUUCUCCCCCCGCCGCCCCCUCCAAGGCAUCGCCCACGGGGGGAGCGCGCGCCCCUCCGAGUCCCACGCCCAGCAAAGCGUCCCCGUCCCGCUCCUCGCCGCCCAAGAGGACCGGCAGCAUCGGCAAGGGGUCGGCGUCCCCCGCCAGGCCCACCACCAAGACGCAAGGCCCCAACUUGGCGACGGAAGCGCGGAGCAAAGUUCGCCCCUGCGGAUGCUCGCGACGUCACGGCGGAGGGGGACACCACGGGGGACACCAGGGGGGACACCACCACGCGUCGCCAGAGCCCCCCAAGGAACGUGUCCGUAAGCAGCCCAAGGCCCCCUCCUCCCCCCCAGCGAAGCCCCGCGUCGAACCGGCUCCCGAAGUGAACCACCAGCAGGAGGUUCCACUUCCUCCGUUGCCAGAGGUCGCCGGUUCGGACGACGCGAAGGGGGCUAAUAGGUACAUCAGCACCUUGGUCUGGGUUCCUCGGAUGCACCCAGAGAAGUUCUCCACCACCUUGAUUGUGUCCCCUGAGGAGGCCACUUUCACCGACGCUAUCUAUAUUAAGACCUCUCCUUUGGUUCCUCACCAGGAUGCCUCCUGUGGUUCCCAUGGCAACAGAGAUGAGGCAAGAAAGCAAUGAAGGUUGUUUUAUAUAGACACUCUCAUCCAUUGAGCUUCUUGAACAUCAGUCGUGUUGCCGAGAUACCAAGAGCUGCUGCAUGAGGAACACCUUUACGAGCAAGGCAAGAACGUGACUUCCUACAGCAGUCAGUUCACAGGCAGUCACACGGCUUCCUCCGUCCACUUCACUCCCAUGGCUGUCUCGUAAAAUCUCUCUU